GUUUGGCAUAAUCUACCACUGUCUGCCCUUUGGAAGGUUCCUUGUGCUAAUUUUCGUCUCACAGAAUAUGAAUCAGUUCCAUGAAUUAUUUUAUAGAAGAACAGAUCAAAGCUACAGAUAGGCUAAAGAAACUACAGAGCUCUAGAUGCUGGUGACAACUGCCAACCCUUCAUCUUAAUGGACUGCAAAUAUCAACAUGUCAGAAAAUUCCCAGCCAAGCUGGAAACAUUUUCAGUAUUUGUAAAACAUUCACAAAUGCCAGCAGGCAGUUCUAAAAAUUAGAAUCAAUCCAUCCUGCUCCCUGGUAUGCAUAAGCCCAGAUACAUGGCAGGAGAAGGAAGUAGGAGAACACAGCCUGCAACCAGGAGGGUGUUGUGACACCAGCCACUUAGACUGGCUCAUCCUAACUGACAUGCAGUUUCCCACAGCCAGAAAGAAGUACUGAGCUACAGUUAUUUUAAAAACUUAUCAACCAGGGCUGAAAAUUCCCACAGAUAAGUCUGGCACUAUGAAAGACAGUGACAAAA